GACGAACGCUGGCGGCGUGCCUAAUACAUGCAAGUCGAACGAGAGCGCCCGGUGCUUGCACUGGUCAAUCUAGUGGCGAACGGGUGAGUAACACGUGGGUAACCUGCCCAUCAGAGGGGGAUAACAUCCGGAAACGGAUGCUAAAACCGCAUAGGUCUUCGAGCCGCAUGGCUUGAAGAGGAAAAGAGGCGCAAGCUUCUGCUGAUGGAUGGACCCGCGGUGCAUUAGCUAGUUGGUGAGGUAACGGCUCACCAAGGCCGUGAUGCAUAGCCGACCUGAGAGGGUGAUCGGCCACAUUGGGACUGAGACACGGCCCAAACUCCUACGGGAGGCAGCAGUAGGGAAUCUUCCGCAAUGGACGCAAGUCUGACGGAGCAACGCCGCGUGAGUGAAGAAGGUUUUCGGAUCGUAAAACUCUGUUGUUAGAGAAGAACAAGUGCUAGAGUAACUGUUAGCGCCUUGACGGUAUCUAACCAGAAAGCCACGGCUAACUACAUG
rnacentral:rRNA from 1 species